UGGGCUGAAAGGAAAAGAGCAAAAAGACACGGCAGAAAAAAGUGAAAAAUUCACGAAAAUUUCAGGUAAGAUCUUGGUUAAACUAAUGUAAUAAUUUUAAAAAUAAUGAAGGUAAUCUAAAUACAAAUAGAAAAGUAAUUAACCUCACAAGUGUUUGGUUUACAGCAUUUGCCAAGUGAAAAGGUUCUUUGUGGUGCUCCUGUGAAGGUAAGUCUUUCAGCUGAGAGCUGAAUACCUGUGUGGGUCACCGGCAGGCCACUGUGUGUAGAAAACUCCACAGUCAUUCUCCAAAAAAGAUAAAAGGAGGCUUUUUUCCCUGCACUUCCAAGGGAGUAUAUGUUGUUUGUUCUUUGUCCUUCUCACACAGAAAUCAUUGUCUGUGCUACUGAAGCACACCCAAGACUUUUCUAAUUAAAAAAACCCUGCAGCUGAAACUGGAAGAUGAGCUCUGGACAAUCAGCUAACAGCUGGAAAAGAUGAGCAUCUGAAUCAGACCCAUCUUGAAUACUCCUUAAAGCCAACCAAGUAACCACACCUACCCAUCUCCAAAAUCCCAGUUGUAGACAAAUGAUGCUGACUUGAAGUAAUGACUUGGGUCAUGAAGAGAGAAGGAAAUCCGGGUCACUGUGCCUGUGGAGGAACUAGAACCCCAUGUGACAACUUCACUGUCUUCUAUCUGGGCAAUGGUGAGAUUCCCUGUGAUAAAUUCUGCAGAAUAAUAAGGUGGGAAAAGAAUGACAGUAUAUGUCACUUCCAUAACAUACUUUGUGUGUGUAUCAAAACAUUACUGCUUAAGUUUUUCUGUGUCCUACUCCAAGUGGUUAAGUGUAUUUUAUAUCUAUUAUUCAGUGUUGUUACAUAUGUUAAUGAGGCAGUGAAAUUAAAAUACUCAUUUAGGGUUAUACAGUGGGUCAUGAUAAAACUUCUAAUAGAACUAAGAAAUCUUGGACUGAUUAAGGUCAGUAUAAACUUUUACUCUUGAUGUAAAAACAAGUGGGAUUAACAAUGAGUAUCUAGAUUUAGAACCAAACCACCAUACACACCCUUCAUGUUUGGGGUGCUGGGGUUUAUUUGUUUGUUUAGGGAGGUUUUCUAUAUUGCUGGGUUUUUGUUUUUUAGUUUUUAGCUAUUUCUACAUAAAUUAAAAUUUGACUGUGACGAAGAACAGAGCUCUAUAUAUUGUGAAUACAGAAAGGAUUAAGGUUUGAUGUCUAUGAGAGGUUUUAUAUUGGAAUUUGUUUACGAGGCUGAUCUAAAAGGAACUCUCUAAUCUGUGAAUAAAGAGGUAUUAUGAUGACACAGCGGAAA